AACACAUGGAGAGGAAGUUUGCAGUGGUGCGGUGGAGUGAAGGGGAGGAUUUUGGGAAGCUCAGUGACAUAAAAACUGAUGCCAAAAGGGGGUAUGAUGAUUCCAAGAUGGACCAGGAUGGGAAUCCCUUUGCCACCUACUCAGCCGUAAUUGAAUGGCGCCAUGGGAGGAAACAAUGAGGAGGCUGGCCUCACUACAGAGGCACUGUCAUUUUUGUUGGUGCUACUCGUUUUGAGACAAUCCGUAAACUGAACUCACUGCUGAAGGAAGAAGAACCUACAGAGCUGACAAAGAGGGCCUCAGUGGCCCCCCAAAAAUAUGGGGACGAUUCAGAUUGCUAAACUGAUAUUGAAACUCAGUCUCAGCAAGCAAAGAAGUCAAAGGCUCCCAGGAGGAUAGACCCUGCAGAAGAGUUUCUUAGGCUAUACGGUCAAUCACAGCCUUCUUCAGAUAAUCACAACAGUCCGACUCAGACUGUGGCUGAAUUAAAGCAGGAGAUCAAGGACCUGAAAGAAGAGAACGCGAAGUUGAAGGAGAUUGUUCUUCAAGGUAUCAUUGAUUCAUAUCAAAUACUGAACCAUCAGACAAGUAAUAAACCUUUCUCUAAAUGACUGUAGGCUGAAUUGGCUGUAUUGUCCUAAAGGAGUGAUAAUAAUAAAUUAUUUGUUUUUGAUGAACUGUGUCUAGAUGUGCCAGGACUCCUACUGAGUUUGAGGAAUAUAAUAGAUUCGGCUGCACCUCCUAAGAGAUCCAGGGUGGAGCCUACCAAAGCAUUACCGGCCCUUCCAGGGUCUCCGCAGUCCAGGUCCAGUUCUCCAUGUGCCACUUCGCUGUCCCUCCCCAGAUCUACGCUGUCCAGUUCCACAUCUGUGUCUCCAUCCCUGACUGCCUCCCAGUCUUCUAAGGUUGAGAUCCAUCCUGGGAUCGGAGUCAUGGUUGAGAAACUGGCGUGGGCCUAUGCCAUCAAUGCCAAUUCGGCAACAGUCUUUGUGAGACAUCUGCUCACUGCAGUCUUUCCAGUGGAAAUACUGCUGGUGCAACUCUUGAGAAGUGGCCUGGGACCCAGCUUUCCAGCAUUGGAAGUACGAUCAAUGCCAAGAUUACAGAACUCUGGUCAAAAAGUAAAAAUGCUGGUGUGUACACAGCUCCACAUUAAACUGUUUUGUUUGCUCUGA
ensembl:lncRNA